rnacentral:rRNA from 1 species
AGAGUUCGAUCCUGGCUCAGGAUGAACGCUGGCGGCGCGCCUAACACAUGCAAGUCGAACGGCACCCACCUCCGGGUGGAAGCGAGUGGCGAACGGCUGAGUAACACGUGGAGAACCUGCCCCCUCCCCCGGGAUAGCCGCCCGAAAGGACGGGUAAUACCGGAUACCCCGGGGUGCCGCAUGGCACCCCGGCUAAAGCCCCGACGGGAGGGGAUGGCUCCGCGGCCCAUCAGGUAGACGGCGGGGUGACGGCCCACCGUGCCGACAACGGGUAGCCGGGUUGAGAGACCGACCGGCCAGAUUGGGACUGAGACACGGCCCAGACUCCUACGGGAGGCAGCAGUGGGGAAUCUUGCGCAAUGGGGGGAACCCUGACGCAGCGACGCCGCGUGCGGGACGGAGGCCUUCGGGUCGUAAACCGCUUUCAGCAGGGAAGAGUCAAGACUGUACCUGCAGAAGAAGCCCCGGCUAACUACGUGCCAGCAGCCGCGGUAAUACGUAGGGGGCGAGCGUUAUCCGGAUUCAUUGGGCGUAAAGCGCGCGUAGGCGGCCCGGCAGGCCGGGGGUCGAAGCGGGGGGCUCAACCCCCCGAAGCCCCCGGAACCUCCGCGGCUUGGGUCCGGUAGGGGAGGGUGGAACACCCGGUGUAGCGGUGGAAUGCGCAGAUAUCGGGUGGAACACCGGUGGCGAAGGCGGCCCUCUGGGCCGAGACCGACGCUGAGGCGCGAAAGCUGGGGGAGCGAACAGGAUUAGAUACCCUGGUAGUCCACGCCGUAAACGAUGGAUACUAGGUGUGGGGGGUCUGACCCCCUCCGUGCCGCAGUUAACACAAUAAGUAUCCCACCUGGGGAGUACGAUCGCAAGGUUGAAACUCAAAGGAAUUGACGGGGGCCCGCACAAGCGGUGGAUUAUGUGGUUUAAUUCGAAGCAACGCGAAGAACCUUACCAGGGUUUGACAUCCUGCUAACGAAGUAGAGAUACAUUAGGUGCCCUUCGGGGAAAGCAGAGACAGGUGGUGCAUGGUUGUCGUCAGCUCGUGUCGUGAGAUGUUGGGUU